ensembl:snoRNA
UCAGGCUGAAAAUGGUCUCGGGUGUAAAUGUGGUCUGAGGUCAGAUAACUGAGCCUAAAGUAUUCUGGUGCAUUAAGCUUAUUGCCUGCUGGACCUGAUAGCAGAGCGAUAAAACCCAUGUCCCAACAUUC